rnacentral:rRNA from 10 species
GUUGACCUCGGAUCAGGUAGGAAUACCCGCUGAACUUAAGCAUAUCAAAA